rnacentral:lncRNA from 1 species
AAAAUUAUAUAUACCAGAAUGGCACCCUUAAAUAGAGUCUAUGUAAAAUGGUUAAUUCAAAAUUAUCAAGAAUCAAUAUCAUAUAACUUAUAUGCCAAAAUGUGUAUACUCUUAAAAUUACAUGAUCCAUAUAUUUCAGCCCGACACUAAGUCAUCACACAAGAUUCAUCAUAAUAAAAUGAGAAUAUAACAUGUCAGUAAGACACCGGACAAAAAUGUACGUGUAAUGAUAAAAUACAACCACAUUACUAAUGCAAAUUCCGCCACUAAAAC